GCCAGACUCCUACGGGAGGCAGCAGUGGGGAAUAUUGCACAAUGGGGGGAACCCUGAUGCAGCGACGCCGCGUGGGUGAAGAAGUAUUUCGGUAUGUAAAGCUCUGUCAGCAGGGAAGAAGAAAGACGGUACCUGACUAAGAAGCCCCGGCUAACUACGUGCCAGCAGCCGCGGUAAUACGUAGGGGGCAAGCGUUAUCCGGAUUUACUGGGUGUAAAGGGAGCAUAGACGGCAUGGCAAGUCAGAUGUGAAAGCCCGGGGCUCAACCCCGGGACUGCAUUUGAAACUGUCAGGCUGGAGUGCAGGAGAGGUAAGUGGAAUUCCUAGUGUAGCGGUGAAAUGCGUAGAUAUUAGGAGGAACACCAGUGGCGAAGGCGGCCUGCUGGACAGCGACUGACGUUGAGGCUCGAAAGCGUGGGGAGCAAACAGGAUUAGAUACCCUGGUA
rnacentral:rRNA from 1 species